UACGUAGGGUGCAAGCGUUGUCCGGAAUUAUUGGGCGUAAAGAGCUCGUAGGCGGUUUGUUGCGUCUGCUGUGAAAACCCGAGGCUCAACCUCGGGCCUGCAGUGGGUACGGGCAGACUAGAGUGCGGUAGGGGAGAGUGGAAUUCCUGGUGUAGCGGUGGAAUGCGCAGAUAUCAGGAGGAACACCAAUGGCGAAGGCAGAUCUCUGGGCCGUAACUGACGCUGAGGAGCGAAAGCAUGGGGAGCGAACAGG
rnacentral:rRNA from 1 species